UGGUCCGUGGCUCAACGGUUAGAGCAGCUGCCUGAUACGCAGCAGGCUGCAGGUUCGAAUCCUGCCGGACCAA
rnacentral:tRNA from 1 species